rnacentral:lncRNA from 1 species
UUUUUUUUCAAAAUCAUAAAGUGUAUUGUUUUGUAUGUGUGAAUGCCAUGGUGCCCAUUAAGUAUUCUUACGAGGGUCUUAAAGGGGUUUAAGGAAUAAAGAAGAAAGGGUCAAAUUAACAGAAAAUGGAAAAAAAUAAAGAAUAGAAAAAAUAGAAAAAAAUAAAGAAUAGAGAAUAUUGGGGAUUAAAAUAUAAAGAAAAGAGAAAAAGGCA